rnacentral:lncRNA from 1 species
UGGUGGAUCGACGGCAGUCAGAUCUACAAGAAAAGCCCCAUCAAAGAUGGCUUCGGCAGGGAUCCUCCGACGCUCAAGUUAGAUUUAUGCGCAACAGGUGGGAAAGAGCAUUUACAAGAAGAUGAGGCAUACCUUAUUUUUAUAAGGAAGGGUGGAACCAAGAAGAGCACAAGAAUAUCACAGAUAUUUUAUCUCUCAUUUAGUGAUCUCGAGAAUCGUGCUGAUCAGAUUAUUUCAUAGCAUGUGGAGGCCAGG